rnacentral:rRNA from 1 species
GACGAACGCUGGCGGCGUGCUUAACACAUGCAAGUCGAACGGAAAGGCCCUGCUUUUGUGGGGUGCUCGAGUGGCGAACGGGUGAGUAACACGUGAGUAACCUGCCCUUGACUUUGGGAUAACUUCAGGAAACUGGGGCUAAUACCGGAUAGGAGCUCCUGCUGCAUGGUGGGGGUUGGAAAGUUUCGGCGGUUGGGGAUGGACUCGCGGCUUAUCAGCUUGUUGGUGGGGUAGUGGCUUACCAAGGCUUUGACGGGUAGCCGGCCUGAGAGGGUGACCGGCCUCAAUAGGACUAAGAGACGGACCAGACUCCUACGGGAGGCAACAGUGGGGAAUAUUGCACAAUGGGCCGAAGCCUGAUCCAGCAACGCCGCGUACGGGAUGACGGCCUACGGGUUGUAAACAGCUUUGGACUGUGACGAAGCGUGAAUGACGGUAAUCGAUAAAGAAGCACCGGCUAACUACGUG